rnacentral:rRNA from 1 species
GACGAACGCUGGCGGCGUGCCUAAUACAUGCAAGUAGAACGCUGAAGGAGGAGCUUGCUUCUCUGGAUGAGUUCCGAACGGGUGAGUAACGCGUAGGUAACCUGCCUGGUAGCGGGGGAUAACUAUGGGAAACGAUAGCUAAUACCGCAUAAGAGUAGAUGUUGCAUGACAUUGGCUUAAAAGGUGCAAUUGCAUCACUACCAGAUGGACCUGCGUUGUAUUAGCUAGUUGGUGGGGUAACGGCUUACCAAGGCGACGAUACAUAGCCGACCUGAGAGGGUGAUCGGCCACACUGGGACUGAGACACGGCCCAGACUCCUACGGGAGGCAGCAGUAGGGAAUCUUCGGCAAUGGACGGAAGUCUGACCGAGCAACGCCGCGUGAGUGAAGAAGGUUUUCGGAUCGUAAAGCUCUGUUGUAAGAGAAGAACGAGUGUGAGAGUGGAAAGUUCACACUGUGACGGUAUCUUACCAGAAAGAGACGGCUAACUACGUG